UGGAGGGCUGAGUUGCAGGCGGCGGGCGCAUCCCAGAGAUGGCGGGGCAGGGAGGGAGGGAAAGGGAGGAGGGGGGUGGGGAGGGAGGUGCAGAUUUGCACGGAUGGCCUCAGCGGGAGGCACGGAAAUGCUAGCCGAGCCUGCUGGCGUGAAAGCCCCCGGGGCCUGGCACCCCCCAAAACGACCCCCCACCUCUGCCCCUGCCCCCUUACUCGGAUUACCCACGGCUGCCCCUCUCUUCCUGAGUCUACCCCUCCUCAUUACCUGUGCUGGCGACCUAAAUUCAAAGUGUUUUGUACAGGAAAUACAGCCAGUCUACAGCCUUUUCAGACUGCAGCUGACCGGAAGACGGCCUUUCAUUCAUUCAUUCGGACAGCCUGGCUGGAAGAGCUCUGAAAUAAGUUGGGCGAGAAAAAAAAGAAAAAAAAAAAAGUCUCUACACUCGCCGAGAAGAGAUAAAUCGAUACACCGGAGGGGAAGAGAAUCGGAGUCAGCGUCUCUAAUGCCGCUCACAAGCAGGCGAAAGUCCCUUGUGGAUUAAACUCAAAAAGGAAAAACAAAACUGUCCAGAGACUUUCAGACCUGGCCCUGGGGGGAAGAGUUUAACGUUCUACACAGAAUCCUGCUCUUCAGCCUGUCUCUUCCUGUCUAAGGAUGUGCUGUGAUGAUCAGCAAGGAUGGGAAGAACCCCUGAGACCACAGAUGAGUUAAAGGGUUAACGCUGGGAAGAGAGUCAUAAAAGUUCAAAGAUUCUUUCAAAACUUACAUCUUGGGGUUGAUGGACAUGUAUGGUAGCCAAUGGAAACGAAAGGGCAGGCAUUACUUCAUCAUGCUCAGCUGUCACUGGUUGACAGUCUCUAAGGGAUGGACCAGAAGGCUGGCAGUUAACCCUUGAGGGCCUACCGUGCCCUUUGCAUUACUUUUACUUUGCAAGAUGAAGCAGAAACAGAAGGGCCUCCCAAAGCCUUCCCACCCUCGGGUGCUGUCGUUGGGUCCAGCCCCUGGAGACAGGAUCUCUCCUACCACCGGAACACCAGGGGACAGAUGGCCUGGAUGAAAGUUUUGAACUUUUUUAAAGACAAGGAAUCAGCUGACCUCGCUGAGUAGGAGGCCCGGGGGAGAAGUUUGGUUCACUUUGUGCGCUGUCAGAACACAGACCCAUGGUGGAGACAUUUCCAUUCAUCUUGUAAAGUGAUCAGUCACUGGAAGGAUUGAAUAGCAUUUCCUGCCCCGAAGAUGUGGAGACAGAUGACCUUUGCAGCAGCCCUCAGACCCCCAGUUCACAGCUGGAGAGAGGAUGUCAGCCUUUACUUUCCAGGCUCACCCAGCCCUUUGUUCAGAACUCAGACCCUUUGUGCAGCUCAGGCUGCUGCAGGGGAUUUUGUAGUUGUUGAUGCAGGUUCCCCCCCCCCCACACACACACACACACACUAACCUCCCACUUCUUGCAGCUUCUGAGAAACAAACUGUUUGGCAGAAGAUGGUAUCUUAAGAGCUGCCCCAGAGGGAGACCCAGAAUAGACGUGGGGAAUUUUGAGAGGCCACUUGGCCUUCUGGCAAUAACCAUUGCCCUUUCCUGGGUUUCCUGACUCCUACAGGCUGAACUAGAGAGAGCCAGAAGUCCAACCAAUUCCUAAUGCCUUGUGUUUAGGUGGCUCUAUUAAAAAAAAAAAGAAGAAAACGAGGCUUUUAUGCAUAUUAUCUCAAGUGGAAGGCACCUGCUAGAACGAAACCAUUUACAUAAAGGAACAAUGUAAACCUCGAGACAGUACAUCAAGAUAAAAGACGCUGGACAGUCUGCUGCCUCCCCUGUAAAAUGGAGGUUGUAAGAAGAAACAUGCUCUAGUCACAGGGGUACUGUACGAGCCAGUGUUAGGAAAGGGCUGAUCCAGUGAUGCUGUUCCAAUGAAGCUGGCGUUCUGGGCACCGUUACCCUGACAGUUUGCCUUCUUCCAAGGUUAAGGUUCAGGGGGAGACUGAUGUGGAGGAUGGAGUAGCUCUUUGCUCUAGGUAUUUUGAGUCCCUUGACUAGACAUCCUUGCCCGCCACACCCCCCACCCCCACCCCGCCUUUGCACCUGCGGGUCCCUCCCCCUCUGCAUGUGUCCUCCUGAUAGCUGCCACCUCGCUAACAUCCUUCUAGAAGAUGCUUGGGGAUCUUAUUUCCUGCCACCUUCUCAUGCUCAGCACAUUCGAUCGUCCUGAGGUUUCCUCGGGGAAUCAGACACGCAGGACUCCAGACAGCAAAAUGCAAGGAUACUCAAGUCCUAUAACAGUGGUGUUUAUGGGCUGGAGAGAUGGCUUAGCGGUUAUGAGCACUGGCUGUUCUUCCAAGGGUCCUGAGUUCAAUUCCCAGCAACCACAUGGUGGCUCACAACCAUGUGUAGUAAGAUCUGGUGCCCUCU